AAAAAGCUGCUACUUCAAACCAAAAAUGUGAAAAUGGCAUCAUUUAAUAUUACUGAAAUAUAAAAUCUAAGUGCUACAAAAGUCCCUGGUGUGUGAUGUUCCCCUCCCUGUGUCCAUGUGUUCUCAUUGUUCAACUCCCACUUAUGAGUGAGAACAUGCAGUGUUUGGUUUUCUGUUCCUGUGUUGGUGAAAUACCUUUUUAUACAAUGUAUUUCCAUAAAGUUACAUGGUGAUAUAGUGUGGCCAUGUCACCAUGCAAAUCUCACCUUGAAUUGUAAUAAUCCCUAUGUGUCAUGGGAGGGACGUCUUCAGACGUUGACUUAAUUCAGUUUGCCUCAUUGUUGGAAGCCUCAUCAGAAUUCUCCACAAGAUCUAGAACUUCAUCAUCCUCUCCAGUAGCAAGUGGUGCUUUUCCACCCACAGAUUGUUUGGGCUACCAGAAGGCCUGGACAAUGAGAACCCUUUUUCUGGAUUGGUUCCAUUGCUGUUUUGUCCCUGAAGUCAAGAAGUACCUUACCAAACUGACUUUUAAAGUUCUUUUGAUAUUGGCCAAUGUCCCUGGACAUUCAAAACCUCAUGAGUUCAA
rnacentral:lncRNA from 1 species